CAAAAACAUCGCCUCUUGAAACAACAAUAUAAGAGGUCCUGCCUGCCCAGUGACCACAUGUUCAACGGCCGCGGUACUUUGACCGUGCGAAGGUAGCGCAAUCACUUGUCUUUUAAAUGGAGACCUGUAUGAAUGGCACGACGAGGGCUUAACUGUCUCCUUUUUCCAGUCAAUGAAAUUGAUCUUCCCGUGCAGAAGCGGGAAUAAAACCAUAAGACGAGAAGACCCUGUGGAGCUUUAGACACUAAGUCAGCCCUUGUCCAAAACCCUAGCUUAAAAGACUGAACGCCAAAGGAGACCUGAUCUGAUGUCUUCGGUUGGGGCGACCUCGGGGGAAAGAAAAACCCCCGCGCGGAACAGGAAUACUAUAUUCCCAAAACUAAGAGCCACCACUCAAAGUAUCAGAAAUUCUGACCAACUAUAUGAUCCGGCCCAACGCCGAUCAACGGACCGAGUUACCCCAGGGAUAACAGCGCAAUCCCCUUUUAGAGCCCAUAUCGACAAGGGGGUUUACGACCUCGAUGUUGGAUCAGGACAUCCUAAUGGUGCAGCCGCUAUUAAGGGUUCGUUUGUUCAACGAUUAAAGUCCUACGUGAUCUGA
rnacentral:rRNA from 1 species